AAGAGAAAUUUGACCAUCCAUGUUCCAGCUGGAAAGCAACACCACCUGAAUAUAAGAAAAUGUGGUUUGAUGAAUGGGCGUGAAAAUAUAAAUGGUUGCCACAAUAUGAUCAUGCUAUUAAGAAAAUUUGGAAUGCAAAGUGUGUAGAAAUUUUAAGAAAUACAAUGCACACUAUUAGGCAAGACUUGUAUCAAAAACAAGUUAGGGCUAAGUGGAUUCCACGUCAAGUGAUGACCGAGCUAGAGAUAAUAUGGGCAUCAGAAGAUUACAAGGCUAAGUGUGAGAUUGCUAAGGCUAAUCGAGCCUCAACUACAGGAGGCACUCAACACAAAGGUUGAAGUAUUCCUAAUACUGAGCAUAAGAGGAGACUGGCUUUGGAGUUAGGAAGAGACCCUUCUAUGUUUGAAUUGUUCAAGAGGACACAUUUAAAUGACAAAACUGGAAAAUUUGCAGACCAGCGAGCGGAAUUAGCUCAUGUGGCAAGAACAAGAAGGGCCGCAUCUAUGGAUUUGGGUCUGAGGCUGAUG